GGCAAAGUGAAUCCUGAGGCCUCCCCUGGCAUUCCAGAGCAUGGCAAGUGCAGAAGCUGCCCUGUCUGGGACAUAUCACAGUGGCGCUGAAGACAGAGGUGAGCAGAUUCCUCAGGCCCAAGAGCUAGACACAUUCAUUUUGUUACACAAGGUUUGAAAAGAACAGAUGUGGUGCCUAAAGAUUUAUCUUGAGUAAUGCAAGAAAACUUAGUGCAUGCUGGCAUUUGAAAAUACCCACAUGCCAUAGUCCUUUGGGGAUCAUGUGUCCUGACCCAUAUGUGUCCUAGAUUUCAGGGUGCUCUUCCAGUCCAGCAAGAUUCUAUGACUGGCAAAUUGAGCUUCAAAGGAAUGAGUGAGCAGCCAGCCACAGUUACUUAAAGUUGGCAUCACUGGUAUCUAGGCCUGAGCAGGAACUCUAGGAAUAACUGGAAUGAUUGAGAUUAAGUCUCAGCCAGGCACAAUGGUGUAUACCUAUAAUACCAGUGGCUUGGGAGGCUGAGGCAGGAGAAUCCCUAGUUGAAAGCCAGCCUCAACAACUUAGCAAGGCUCUAAGUAAAUAAGUGAGAUCCUGUCUCAAAAUAAGAAAUAAAAAAAUGGGCUGAGCCUGUGGUUUACUGAUUAAGCACCCCUGAGUUCAAUUCCUGGCACACACAAAAAAGUAAUUAAGUAUGGAAUCUUGAUCACUGAUAAGUGUCAAUAUUCUAGAGCCUUUAUGAAAGAGCAGAAAUGUUCAGUUUUCAAGUCUCUGCUCUGCACACAGAGAAUACAAGAAAGAUACAAUCCAGUGAGUUCUCAGCUGAGAAACUUUUGAUUCAACUUUGAAACCAUGGUUUGGGACUGUCUAUAGCCCUUGCAAUAAUCAACAAAUUUUAAGACUUAUUGUAUCUUUAUGGUUAUAUUAUUGAAUUUGUAUUUUACAACCACCAUUUUUGUGGAACGACAAGAAAAAUUAGCAAGUAGAGAUUACACCCAAAUAGGAAAGUCUAGAAUUUUCUUUACAUUGUUUUUGGAGGUCUUGGAUCAAUAAGUAGACUCUAAAGGUUUAGAUUUAGAAUUAUAUAGGUUUUUAAAACCAUGACACUUUUUUUUAUACCAGGGAUUAAACCCAGGGGCAAUUAACCACUGAGUCACAUCCCAAGUCCUUUUUAAAAUAUAUUUUAUUAUAGGGUCUUACUAAGUUGCUUAGGUCCUCACUAAGUUGCCGAGGUUGGCUUUGAGUCAAGACCCUUAUGCCUCAGGCUCCCAAGCUGCUGGGAUUGCAGUCUGUACCACCAUGUCCAGCCCAUAACACAUUUUAUAGCAAAAAUAUAAAACAUUUUCACAUCUAGAAUGGGAUAAGGAAAAUCAUCUUCAGGCAAUGCUUAUCAACUCGUGGGCACUGAUGGGAUCAUUCAAAGUGGUUUCCAUGUGCCAGCAGUGUUCAAGACGCUAGGGACAUAGUGAUUCUCAGGCCAAAGUCGCUGUCCUCACCAAAUAUAUUCCUAUGGGGGGAAAACAAUAGAAAAGUCAGAAAAAUCUAUAAUUUGAGGCAAUAAAUGACGUUUAGAUCAAUAAAGUUAAGAAGGAGGAUCAAGAAUGAUUGAGUGGGAUAAUGACACUUUUCCUUGGCUGGUCCUUUCUCAUAGGUGUUUCUCUGACUACUCUAGGGAAAGUAGCAUCCCAGCCUAUUCCUCUCCAUCAUUAUAUGAAAUUCUAGUCUUCAUAUGUUUUCAGAGCCUAUGACUCUGCUGGGGAAGCCCUCCUCAGAGAGCAGGUGUGAAUGGGGGUUCCCUUCCAUACUUUGUAUUUUGUCUCAACUCUUCCAGUCUCCUGGGGGCCUCAUUCCUGAGGUUUUGCCACACUUCCUUCAGGGGACUCUCAUGCUUCAUUGCCACAACCAGAAGAAUAAAGCCUUGCAAUAAGUCAGGGCAUGAUUUCUAGUGCUGUUGUCAGUGCAGCAAAACUGGGGGACAUUUUACAAGGCAGAUGAAACCCUGCAGAUGGAAAGUCACUGUGAUGACAUGACACAUGACAGUGAGGGGUGGGGGUGACUAUACAGCAAUAUCAGCCUUGGCUGUUGUCAUGAUAACAACUCCCCAGGGCUUUCUGUAGUCUCUGAUAUCCUCUGCUUGGCCUGCUUGGCAAGCUCUGAUUGCAGCUCAUUGUUGAAAUGGGACGCUGGAACAUGACCAUAGUGGCAUUCUCCUUAUCAUUUUAUCACCAUAGACACUCUUUGAUGAAGGGUGUGCGGAUUGUAUUUUGAAUGUAUAUUACCAAGGUGUGGUAGGAAUCAUAGGGUGUUACAGGAACAAUGAAAAUAAAAGCUGGGAAGUGAGGAAUUCCCCUCCCCAAUAUAGGGAAAUAAUUAAUAAAAAGUAUGAAAGAGAAGCUAAUACAUGUGGAGAAUACGUCCCUGUAAUCUAUAUUCUGUCUAAUGUGAAAUCCAGAUGGAAAAAAGUGACAGAACAGAGGACAGACAUGAAAUACUAUGAAAAAUUUCCCCUAAAUAAAUGUCAAAGAAGGACAGUUUUGCAUUAAGCUUGGAGACAUGCUUCUGAGAUAUGUGUAUUGAAUAGAGUGAUUGGGUUUCUGGAA
rnacentral:lncRNA from 1 species